rnacentral:misc_RNA from 1 species
GAAGAACUAGAGGCAAUGGCUACGUCCAAAACAGAGCUAGAGGAUCUAGCAAAGUCUUGUUCUAGCUCAGACCUUGACAAGAAACAAUCUGAAUCUCGUAUCCUGAGAUUUCUUGUUUCUAUUUAUCGUUGGUGUACUGAGAAGGAUCCAAACGACCGUCCCACAGCAGAGAACCUCUACAACCUCUUACUUUCCUGUGCUGAUUCCCUCUCUUCACAACAAAGUCAAGAAGAUUCAUGAUCUUCCUCAAAUUUUGGUAGCCUUAGGAUGUUGUAGAUUAGCAUUAGAUUAUUCAGCAGGAGUUACAGACCCAAUAUUUGGGUCUGGUGUCCCCUCAUUGAGCAAUGUAACAUGUUCUUAGCCUUAUUUGAAAUGGAAAAGCCAUAAGGACGUAGUCGUGUCCAUGGGACAUUUAUGAUGGUCUUGUUGUGUGUGUGUGUGUGUUGUGCAUCAUUUUCUUUAGUCCUUUCCUAGCUUGUAGUUGUAUACAUUUGUACCCAUCUUCACAAAUUCCAACUGAUUAAUUAU